rnacentral:rRNA from 1 species
GAUGAACGCUGGCGGCGUGCCUAAUACAUGCAAGUCGAGCGAACAGACGAGGAGCUUGCUCCUCUGACGUUAGCGGCGGACGGGGGAGUAACACGUGGAUAACCUACCUAUAAGACUGGGAUAACUUCGGGAAACCGGAGCUAAGACCGGAUAAUAUAUUGAACCGCAUGGUUCAAUAGUGAAAGACGGUUUUGCUGUUACUUAUAGAUGGAUCCGCGCCGCAUUAGCUAGUUGGUAAGGGAACGGCUUACCAAGGCGACGGUGGGUAGCCGACCUGAGGGGGUGAUCGGCCACACUGGAACUGGGACACGGUCACGACUCCUACGGGAGGCAGAAGUAGGGAAUCUUACGCAAUGGGCGAAAGCCUGACGGAGCAACGCCGCGUGAGUGAUGAAGGUCUUCGGAUCGUAAAACUCUGUUAUUAGGGAAGAACAAAUGUGUAAGUAACUAUGCACGUCUUGACGGUACCUAAUCAGAAAGCCACGGCUAACUACGUG